AUGCUAAAUAUCACUAUUCAUAAAUGAUCAUAAACAUUUAUUAUAAUCAGCAAAUCCAAAGAUUUGAUGGAAUUAGGUCAAGCAAACUAGGAAGUUGUGAUAGGGUAAGUUAAACACGUUCGAUCACCACAUCUAAAACGCCAAAAUAUUAGCAUUAACUUUCCUAAACUACAAAAUCUAGCUAGAGCAGGAAACUUAAGGUAAUGCUUCUAAAAGGAAACAAACACAGCAUUGGAAACUACGACGCUUCAAAAAAAAAAAGGAAGAAGAAGAACAUGCAAAAAGAAAAUGGGUUAGUAAGACAAGAAUGACGAACGGAACCUGCUUGCGGAACAUAGGAGAGUCAUCGAGCUUGGAGAAAAGCAUGUUUAAGUAAGCGAUUUUCUCCUCUCUAAGUUACCAGAAUAGAAUAUAAAUUGAUGAGGCGCGUUAGCAUUAGCAUUAGAACAGCAAAGGCAUCCUCUUCCAUACAAAUCUCUGGGCUUCAAGAAAAAUCGCCAUCACCAUCCUCACCAUUGGCAAACGAACAAGUUCAUAUUCCACUCCGAUCUCGAUCACCCAAUAGAACUAGUGAAUUCAUAUUCGCAUUAUUAUUUUACACACACCUUCAGAAUGUUAGGGGUUUUUUUUUUUAAUUUGUUGGGGUCUGUGUGUGCGUUGGUCUUUUAUCUUUCUUUGCUUCCUUAAAUUAUUGAAUAAAUUUAAUUUUGAAGGUCUGGAAACAAAA